GUUUAAACUUCAUUUCUUUCUUUCUUCUGCUAUGUCUUUUGCCAUAUCUCUCUCACAUAUAUAUUUUCUUUUAUUAUUAAACCUAUAAUAAUAAUAAGGCUUCACCCCGUUUUAAGUGUUUUAACUCCCGAUCACCGCUACCCUUUCCGAUUGAUCUGAGCCUCAUAACUUAUGUCAGGGCUCUGCCCGACUAAGUUGUUGGGAUUCGGUCUCGGGACAUCGGGACAAGGUUGAAUUAGGGGUACUAUACUUAAAACAAGUGCAUUAUAUAUUUUUAAAAUAGUCCAAAAGUUAUACCCAAUAUUCUACCCGGAGACUUUCUAGUUGAACCUAAAGUUACAAAGUGGGUCCAUUCUCUUUUCUCACCAUUUUAUUUCCUUUUUGUGAUUUACCCAAAACUAUUAUUUAUUAUUCUAUUUUGUAAACAAAUCUCAUCAAAAGUCGUAUCUAUUAUUUUAUUUACCCAAUAGGAAACCCUAAUUGAGACACCCAAGUAAUCCUGCACCACUCCUAAAAUUUUCAGAAUACUCAGAACCAGGAUCAGGACCCCUAAAACUCAAGGGGGGUAUUCCCUACUCGACAAUUAUCCAUAUAUUUUGCUGUCAAAAUUAAAAUUUUCGUUUCCAUCAACUCAGCAAGCCUACAGGGACACGAACCUACCCUACCCUAAAAUGUUACCCGUCGCGCCACGCGACAGGACCAGGUAUCCCUGUCGCGACACGCGAGGAAGUCGAAAUUUCAGUAUAAAUAGGGGGUUGGCACUUGAAUUCUGGUGUUAGUUCGACAAGAAAAUUCCAAAUAGACACUGAGUUAUAGUCGUUUUUCUACCAAACACAUACAAUCCCAAAACGUUGCUACGAUACCGGGUAUUAACUCAAUCGCUGCUACGAUUCAAUAUCCGAUCGACUGAAACUAUCUGAUAGGAUGUUUAAGUGCUAUCCUUUGUCAUUAGUCGUGAUUCCGACAGGAUGUUUGAGUACCACCCGAACUCGGGGAAUACUCUGUCCUUCGUUGCGAAUCCGAUGGAUGUUUAAGUGAUUACACUUUGUCAUUCGUCGUGAGCGUUUUAAUCUCGUGAGUUAUCGUAAAUGCUGUAUUAGUUAAUUACCUAGUUUCGUGUGCAUUAUCGCUUAAAUUAGGUUAUCAGGCUUAUCAGUAGACUAAACACUACCCAUACACUUACAAUCAAAGUAGAUGCUAAUUUUCAGAAGAAUCUGAAUCAUGAAGCUUGUUAAUUCAAUACUGCAUGCUUAUAAUGUAAUUACAGUAGAUUGGAGUAAGGAUUGGAUCCGGCACUGAAGGACUUCAAGAAGUGGCUUAUUUUAUUAAUUAAAUCACAUUAAGAAAUCUUGUUUUAUAAAAUCAAAUUUAUUUAUAUUAAAGCUACCAUUGUAAAACAUGGGUUUUAUCCCAUCUAUUUAAAUAAAAUCCGGUGUUUUCUAAACUCUGAUAUUU
rnacentral:lncRNA from 1 species